GACGUAGGGCGCGAGCGUUGUCCGGAUUUAUUGGGCGUAAAGAGCUCGUAGGCGGCUUGUUGCGUCAGCUGUGAAAACCCGCAGCUCAACUGUGGGCUUGCAGCUGAUACGGGGCAGGCUUUGAGUUCGGUAGGGGGAGACUGGAAUUCCUGGUGUAGCGGUGAAAAUGCGCAGAUAUCAGGGAGGAACACCGGUGGCGAAAGGGCGGGGGUCUCUGGGG
rnacentral:rRNA from 1 species